rnacentral:rRNA from 1 species
UACGGGGGGGGGUAAGCGUUGUUCGGAAUUACUGGGCGUAAAGGGCUCGUAGGCGGCCAACUAAGUCAGACGUGAAAUCCCUCAGCUUAACUGGGGAACUGCGUCUGAUACUGGAUGGCUUGGAUUUGGGAGAGGGAUGCGGAAUUCCAGGUGUAGCGGUGAAAUGCGUAGAUAUCUGGAGGAACACCGGUGGCGAAGGCGGUCUGCUGGGCAGUGGACUCGAGAGAGUCCUUCAACCGACACUGAGGCGCGACAGCGUGGGGAGCAAACAGG